CUACCAUGGCAGUAACGGGUAACGGAGAAUUAGGGUUCGAUUCCGGAGAGGGAGCCUGAGAAACGGCUACCACAUCUAAGGAAGGCAGCAGGCGCGUAAAUUACCCAAUCCUGAUUCAGGGAGGUAGUGACAAGAAAUAUAAACCCGUGGAGCGUAGUUCUUACGGGAUUUAAAUGAGAACAAUUUAAAAGGCUUAGCGAGGAACAAUUGGAGGGCAAGUCUGGUGCCAGCAGCCGCGGUAAUUCCAGCUCCAAUAGCGUAUAUUAAAGUUGUUGCAGUUAAAAAGCUCGUAGUUGAAUUUCUGGUCAAUUUUAGUUUCGGCUUCGGUCGGUCUAAGGUUGGCCAUCCGUCUGCAAGCUAUUCUCGUCCUUCACUGUGUCGGUUUAGCGAGUUGACAUUUUACUUUGAAAAAAUUAGAGUGUUUCAGGCAGGCUUUUGCCCGAAUACAUUAGCAUGGAAUAAUGGAAUUGGACUCUGGUCCAUUUGGUUGGUUAUUGGAUCUGAGUAAUGGUUAAUAGGGACAGUUGGGGGCAUUAGUAUUUAAUUGUCAAAGGUGAAAUUCUUGGAUUUAUUAAAGACUAACUUAUGCGAAAGCAUUUGCCAAGGAUGUUUUCAUUAAUCAA
rnacentral:rRNA from 1 species